rnacentral:misc_RNA from 1 species
UGAGGAGAUAAGGAGGAGCAGAAAUAUCUCCAACCAUCACAUUUUUUUCUUUUGAAAACCUGUUUUCUUUUUUUUUAUAGCUUCCGUACAAUCUUUAUCCCACCAAGGUGGACUAGGAAUAUGAGAAGGUUCAUUUUUCACUGGGAAGAUUUCAUUAGCACUUUCAAUCAAGACAUCCGUGAAAACAGGAGCAUCAAUAAGUGCAU